ACCUAAUUUAACGAGACAGCAACUAAUACUGAACUGACUUCCAGCCAGAAACAUUCUACAAAACCGUUACAGUGAAGAAAUUUAACAUG